AGUGAACGCUGGCGGUAGGCCUAACACAUGCAAGUCGAACGGCAGCACAGUAAGAGCUUGCUCUUACGGGUGGCGAGUGGCGGACGGGUGAGGAAUACAUCGGAAUCUACUUUUUCGUGGGGGAUAACGUAGGGAAACUUACGCUAAUACCGCAUACGACCUACGGGUGAAAGCAGGGGAUCUUCGGACCUUGCGCGAUUGAAUGAGCCGAUGUCGGAUUAGCUAGUUGGCGGGGUAAAGGCCCACCAAGGCGACGAUCCGUAGCUGGUCUGAGAGGAUGAUCAGCCACACUGGAACUGAGACACGGUCCAGACUCCUACGGGAGGCAGCAGUGGGGAAUAUUGGACAAUGGGCGCAAGCCUGAUCCAGCCAUACCGCGUGGGUGAAGAAGGCCUUCGGGUUGUAAAGACCUUUUGUUGGGAAAGAAAAGCAGCAGGUUAAUACCCCGCUGUUCUGACGGUACCCAAAGAAUAAGCACCGGCUAACUUCGU
rnacentral:rRNA from 1 species